ACUUAUCUCUAUGACAUCACCAGAUAUUGCUCCUGGUCUCACAGUUAGGCCUUGAAAUCUCUAGGCUGGUAACCUUAUUAUACACUGUACAUCUCCAAGACUUGCUCCACCUCUUCAUCACCAUGAUGGUGGAGUGCUUAGAAAGACGAGAACCCAAUGCUUAACAUCUCCCAGAAGGCUAUCUGGCAACACUGCCCCCAAACAUCCAAAGUGAGCUGCAACCUGAGAUGCUGCAUCAAAACAUGAAGCAAGAUUUUGGAGAGAUGCAUGGCAAAGGGAAGAAAAGAAUGCUCCACCUGGAGAAUGUGGGCAUCGAUCCCACUACCUCUCACAUGCUAAGCGAGCGCUCUACCAUUUGAGCUAAUUCCCCAUCUGCUUGGCUGAAGUCUUCAGCAAUAUCCUGAGUAAAGCCAUCCCAAAGGUU